rnacentral:rRNA from 1 species
UCGAAUCCUGCUGAGCRACGACCUGAGAACAUGUUUAUCGCACGGGUGUCGGGCCGGAGAAACAUGCGGACCCGUCCCGAGCACGACGUCGACCACCGGUCUGANNCAACAACCAACCCCGGGUCGCAGAAACNCAAGGAAAACGUAAAAAGGAUUGUCUGCUUCCCGUAGUUCCGUAUACGUGCGACGGAGGAUCACGGAGACCUAAAGAAACA